rnacentral:rRNA from 1 species
UACGUAGGGUGCAAGCGUUGUCCGGAAUUAUUGGGCGUAAAGAGCUCGUAGGCGGUUUGUCGCGUCGGCUGUGAAAGCCCGGAGCUCAACUCCGGGUCUGCAGUCGAUACGGGCAGACUUGAGUGUUGCAGGGGAGACUGGAAUUCCUGGUGUAGCGGUGAAAUGCGCAGAUAUCAGGAGGAACACCGGUGGCGAAGGCGGGUCUCUGGGCAACAACUGACGCUGAGGAGCGAAAGCGUGGGGAGCGAGC